rnacentral:rRNA from 1 species
UACGGAGGGAGCUAGCGUUGUUCGGAAUUACUGGGCGUAAAGCGCGUGUAGGCUGCUCGGAAAGUCGGAUGUGAAAGCCCUGGGCUUAACCUAGGAAGUGCAUUCGAAACUUCCGAGCUGGAGUUCUGGAGAGGAAGGCGGAAUUCUCGGUGUAGAGGUGAAAUUCGUAGAUAUUGGGAAGAACACCGGUGGCGAAGGCGGCUAUCUGGACCGACAUUGACGCUGAGGCGCGAAAGCGUGGGGAGCAAACAGG